UCACCGCAAUUCAAGUGAAAGGGCGUGAAAAAGGGCGAGGACGCUGUCCCCGACCAAAAGCCCUUAUCAAAAUGGCAAAACAAAGACGAAAACAGAGGAAACGAGGAGAACCAUUUAACAAAACCUAAAAACGGGGAUAAGGUCCCCGACACAAGCUCGAAACGGUGCUCGACACUUAGAAGCAAACUUAGUUUCGCAUAAAAAACCUAAAGUUAAAAACGGGGAGAAGCUCCCCGACACAGAGUUUCUACAAACUCAUGUAUCUACCAAAUUUCCCAGCGAAACAACGGGGAGAAAGUCCCCGACAAAGAGUUAAAUAAACUUAUUUUCCAGUCAAAAACGGGGAGAAGCUCCCCGACAUUCAUAA
rnacentral:lncRNA from 1 species